rnacentral:rRNA from 1 species
GACAGAGGUCCCGAGCGUUAGGCGGAAUCACUGGGCUUAAAGCGUGUGUAGGCGGAUUUGUAAGUUCCUUGUGAAAUCCCACGGCUUAACCGUGGAACUGCUUGGUAUACUGCUUAUCUUGAGCCACUUAGGGGCAACCGGAACAAACGGUGGAGCGGUGAAAUGCGUAGAUAUUCGGAAGAACACCAGUGGCGAAGGCGGCUCACUGGACGAUUGUUGACGCUGAGGUGCGAAAGCGUGGGGAGCAAACAGG